rnacentral:rRNA from 1 species
AUUGAACGCUGGCGGCAGGCCUAACACAUGCAAGUCGAGCGAGCGGCGGACGGGUGAGUAAUGUAUGGGGACUGCCCGAUAGAGGGGGCUAACUACUGGAAACGGUAGCUAAUACCGCAUACUAUCGGAUAACCCAUAUGGGAUUAGCUAGUCGGUGAGGUAAUGGCUCACCUAGGCGACGAUCCCUAGCUGGUCUGCGAGGAUGAUCAGCCAAAAUGGGACGGAGACACGGCCCAGAGUACUACGGAGGCAGCAGUGGGGAAGAUUGCACAAUGGGCGCAAGCCUGAUGAAGCCAUGCCGCGUGUAUGAAGAAGGCCUUAGGGUUGUAAAGUACGUUCAUUCGGGAGGCGUUACCGACAGAAGAAGCACCGGCUAACUCCGUGCCAGCCGCCGCGGUAAUAC